rnacentral:rRNA from 1 species
AGAUUGAACGCUGGCGGCAUGCCUAACACAUGCAGGUCGAACGGUAACAGGCCCUUCGGGGUGCUGACGAGUGGCGGACGGGUGAGUAAUGCGUAGGAAUCUACCCACGAGUGGGGGAUAGCCCGGAGAAAUCCGGAUUAAUACCGCAUAUGCCCUACGGGGUAAAGCGGGGGAUCGUAAGACCUCGCGCUGGUGGAUGAGCCUACGUCCGAUUAGUUAGUUGGUGGGGUAACGGCCUACCAAGGCGACGAUCGGUAGCUGGUCUGAGAGGAUGAUCAGCCACGACUGGACUGAGACACGGCCCAGACGUCCUACGGAGGCAGC